AUUGAACGCUGGCGGCAUGCUUUACACAUGCAAGUCGAACGGUAACAGGGAGCUUGCUCCGCUGACGAGUGGCGAACGGGUGAGUAACGCGUCGGAACGUGCCGAGUAGUGGGGGAUAACGGAGCGAAAGUUGUGCUAAUACCGCAUACGUACUGAGGUAGAAAGUGGGGGACCUUCGGGCCUCACGCUAUUCGAGCGGCCGCCGGCUGAUUAGCUAGUAGGUGAGGUAAAGGCUCACCUAGGCGACGAUCAGUAGCGGGUCUGAGAGGAUGAUCCGCCACACUGGGACUGAGACACGGCCCAGACUCCUACGGGAGGCAGCAGUGGGGAAUUUUGGACAAUGGGCGAAAGCCUGAUCCAGCCAUGCCGCGUGUCUGAAGAAGGCCUUCGGGUUGUAAAGGACUUUUGUCGGGGAGGAAAUCCCCAGCGCUAAUACCGCUGGGGGAUGACAGUACCUGAAGAAUAAGCACCGGCUAACUACGUGCCAGCCGCCGCCGUAACAC
rnacentral:rRNA from 1 species